rnacentral:rRNA from 1 species
AACGUAGGUGGCAAGCGUUGUCCGGAAUUACUGGGUGUAAAGGGAGCGCAGGCGGGUGCGCAAGUUGAAUGUGAAAACUAUGGGCUCAACCCAUAGACUGCGUUCAAAACUGCGUGUCUUGAGUGAUGUAGAGGUAGGCGGAAUUCCCGGUGUAGCGGUGGAAUGCGUAGAUAUCGGGAGGAACACCAGUGGCGAAGGCGGCCUACUGGGCAUCAACUGACGCUGAGGCU